UCAUAUGAUGAACAAGAUGUCGCCCCAGGCGGACGCAAUAAGCAUGGCAGUUUAAGUACUCUGUGUGUGAAUGACCGAGUAAAGCAUACACUGAAAAUUCUGAGA
rnacentral:snoRNA from 1 species